rnacentral:rRNA from 1 species
UCUUAAUGUAUUAUUUAUUAAGUUUAACCUGCUCAAUGAUAUUUUAUUAAAUAGCCGCAGUAUUUUGACUGUGCGAAGGUAGCAUAAUCAUUUGUCUUUUAAUUGGAGGCUUGUAUGAAUGGUUGGAUGAGGGAAUAACUUUCUUUACACUAAAUUUAUUGAAUUUAAUAUUUAAGUUAAAAAGCUUAAAUAUAUAAAAGGGACGAGAAGACCCUAUAGAAUUUUAUUUGUAUAAAAAUAUUUUUAUUUUGGGUUUUAUUAUAAAAAUUUUAUUAUACAUAUUUUGUUGGGGUGACAGUGAGAAUUAAUUAACUCUUAUAAUUUAUUUAUUGUUUAUUGACAUAUUUAUGAUCCUAUUUUAAGGAUAAUUAGAUUAAAUUACCUUAGGGAUAACAGCGUAAUUUUUCUGGAGAGUUCAUAUCGAUAGAAGGGUUUGCGACCUCGAUGUUGGAUUAAAAUUAAAUUUAAGUGCAGAAGCUUAAUUUUUAGGUCUGUUCGACCUUUAAAUUUUUACAUGAUCU